rnacentral:rRNA from 1 species
AACGAACGCUGGCGGCAGGCUUAACACAUGCCAGUCGAGCGAGACCUUCGGGUCUAGCGGCGGACGGGUGAGUAACGCGUGGGAACGUGCCCUUCUCUACGGAAUAGCCCCGGGAAACUGGGAGUAAUACCGUAUACGCCCUUUGGGGGAAAGAUUUAUCGGAGAAGGAUCGGCCCGCGUUGGAUUAGGUAGUUGGUGGGGUAAUGGCCCACCAAGCCGACGAUCCAUAGCUGGUUUGAGAGGAUGAUCAGCCACACUGGGACUGAGACACGGCCCAGACUCCUACGGGAGGCAGCAGUGGGGAAUCGUAGACAAUGGGGGCAACCCUGAUCGAGCCAUGCCGCGUGAGUGAUGAAGGCCUUAGGGUUGUAAAGCUCUUUCAGCUGGGAAGAUAAUGACGGUACCAGCAGAAGAAGCCCCGGCUAACUCCGUG